rnacentral:rRNA from 1 species
UACAGAGGGUGCAAGCGUUAAUCGGAAUUACUGGGCGUAAAGCGUGCGUAGCCGGUUACAUAAGUCGGGUGUGAAAGCCCCGGGCUCAACCUGGGAAUUGCAUUCGAGACUGUGUAGCUAGGGUGCGGAAGAGGGAAGCGGAAUUUCCGGUGUAGCGGUGAAAUGCGUAGAUAUCGGAAGGAACAUCAGUGGCGAAAGCGGCUUACUGGGUCUCUUCUGACGCUGAGAUACGAAAGCUAGGGGAGCGAACGGG